UACAGAGGUCCCGAGCGUUGUUCGGAUUUAUUGGGCGUAAAGGGCGCGUAGGCGGUGUGUCAAGUCAGGCGUGAAAGCCCCGGGCUCAACCUGGGAACCGCGCUUGAGACUGGCACGCUCGAGUUCGGGAGAGGAUGGUGGAAUUCCCAGUGUAGAGGUGAAAUUCGUAGAUAUUUGGGAAGAACACCGAUGGCGAAGGCAGCCAUCUGGACCGACACUGACGCUAGGCGCGAAAGCGUGGGG
rnacentral:rRNA from 1 species